rnacentral:rRNA from 1 species
UGGAAACGGCCGCUAAUACCCCAUAUGCCGAGAGGAGAAACGAAUUUCGCCUGAGGAUGAGCUCGCGUCUGAUUAGCUAGUUGGUAGGGUAAAGGCCUACCAAGGCAUCGAUCAGUAGCUGGUCUGAGAGGAUGAUCAGCCACACUGGGACUGAGACACGGCCCAGACUCCUACGGGAGGCAGCAGUGGGGAAUUUUCCGCAAUGGGCGCAAGCCUGACGGAGCAACGCCGCGUGAGGGAUGAAGGCCUCUGGGCUGUAAACCUCUUUUAUCAAGGAAGAAGAUCUGACGGUACUUGAUGAAUAAGCCACGGGUAAUUCCGUGCCAGCACCCCGGGUAAUACGGGAGUGGCAACCGUUAUCGGGGAUUAUUGGGCGUAAAGGCUCCGCAGGCGGUUUUAGAAGUCUGUCGUUAAAGUGUAGCGGUCAAAUGCGUUUCAGCGAUGGAAACUAUAAGACUAGAGUGUGGUAGGGCAAGAGGGAAUUCCGGCUGUAGCGGUGAAAU